ACGGCUUUGGUGUAGAGGUUCCAUGGUCUGGACUUUGAAUCCAGUGAUCCGAGUUCAAAUCUCGGUGGAACCUGUG